GUUGAAAACUUUGACAAGCAUAAGUGCAUUAUUUAUUUGGGUAAGAUGUUGAAAAUUUUUACUAUUUAAGCGGCCCACAAAUAGUAAAUAGAAAACACCCGUACCCAUUUGUCUUUUACGUGUAGACCACGGUUUACCGUGGGGAAACAGAUAGAAAUUACGGGUAAAAAUGCUGACAUCAGCAAAAAUUGGUAAACAAAAUGGCGAUACUCGUACCCGUAAAACGAAAUUGUGGUAUCUUAACCUCUCUAAU
rnacentral:lncRNA from 1 species